rnacentral:rRNA from 1 species
CAGCAGCCGCGGUAAUACGUAGGCGGCAAGCGUUGUCCGGAAUUAUUGGGCGUAAAGGGAGCGCAGGUGGGACGGUAAGUCCGUCUUAAAAGGCAGGGGCUCAGCCCCUGUAAGGGAUGGAAACUAUCGAUCUUGAGUGCCGGAGAGGAAAGCGGAAUUCCCAGUGUAGCGGUGAAAUGCGUAGAUAUUGGGAAGAACACCAGUGGCGAAGGCGGCUUUCUGGACGGCAACUGACACUGAGGCUCGAAAGCCAGGGGAGCGAACGGGAUUAGAUACCCCUGUAGUCCCUGUCUCUUAUACA